rnacentral:rRNA from 1 species
AACCUGGUUGAUCCUGCCAGUAGUCAUAUGCUUGUCUCAAAGAUUAAGCCAUGCAUGUCUAAGUACAAGCCUCUGAAAUGGUGAAACCGCGAACGGCUCAUUACAUCGGUCAUGAUUUCAUGGAUCGUACUCACACUUGGAUAACUGUAGUAAUUCUAGAGCUAAUACAUGCAACGAAGCUCCGACCCAGGGGCGUCCGGCUUCGGUCGCGGCGUUUCUUCGGGGAAGAGCGCAUUUAUUAGAUCAAGACCAACCGUUCUGGCCCCCGGUCUUCGGGCCGGUCGGGCGUGGAGCGCACUAGUCUAGAUGACUCUGGAUAACUUUACACGCAGAUCGCAUGACCCUCGAGUCGGCGACGCAUCCUUCAAGUGUCCGCCCUAUCAACUCGCGACGGUAGGUGCUUUGCCUACCGUGGUGGUGACGGGUAACGGGGAAUCAGGGUUCGAUUCCGGAGAGGGAGCCUUAGAAACGGCUACCACAUCCAAGGAAGGCAGCAGGCGCGCAAAUUACCCACUCCUAGAACGGGGAGGUAGUGACGAAAAAUAACAAUACGAGACUCUUUCGAGGCCUCGUAAUUGGAAUGAGUACACUUUAAAUCCUUGACCGAGGAUCUAUUGGAGGGCAAGUCUGGUGCCAGCAGCCGCGGUAAUUCCAGCUCCAAUAGCGUAUACCAAAGCUGUUGCAGUUAAAAAGCUCGUAGCUGGGUCUCGGGUUUUCACGGGUACGGCGGUCCACCUCGCGGUGGGUUCAACUGCUUUGCUCGGCCCGCCUUCUCGGUCUCCUCGCGAUGCUCUUGAGUGAGUCGUUGCGAGAGGGUCGGGACGUUUACUUUGAAGAAAUUAGAGUGUUCAAGGCAGGCGAUACCGCCUGAAUAAUGGUGCAUGGAAUAAUGGAAUAGGACCCCGGUUCUAUUGCGUUGGUUUUCGGAGCUCGGGGUAAUGACUGAUAGGGACAGCCGGGGACAUCCGUAUUGCGGCGCUAGAGGUGAAAUUCUUGGACCGUCGCAAGACGAACGGCAGCGAAAGCGUUUGUCAAGAACGUUUUCAUUGGUCAAGAGCGAUAGUCAGAGGUUCGAAGACGAUCAGAUACCGUCCUAGUUCUGACCCUAAACGAUGCCAACUAGCAAUCCUCCGGCGUCUUAUUUAUAGUGACGCGGAGGGGGGCUUCCGGGAAACCAAAGUUUCUCGGUUCCGGGGGAAGUAUGGUUGCAAAGCUGAAACUUAAAGGAAUUGACGGAAGGGCACCACCAGGAGUGGAGCCUGCGGCUUAAUUUGACUCAACACGGGGAACCUCACCCGGCCCGGACACCGUCAGGAUUGACAGAUUGAGAGCUCUUUCUCGAUUCGGUGGGUGGUGGUGCAUGGCCGUUCUUAGUUGGUGGAGCGAUUUGUCUGGUUAAUUCCGAUAACGAACGAGACUCCGGCCUACUAACUAGUCAGCCGGUCCCCUGGGCCGGCGCUCGACUUCUUAGAGGGAUGGGCGGCGUGUAGCCGCCAGAGAUGGAGCAAUAACAGGUCUGUGAUGCCCUUAGAUGUCCGGGGCCGCACGCGCGCUACACUGAAGGAAUCAGCGCGGAAGCCCGUCCGAGAGGACCGGGUGACUCGUUGAACCUCCUUCGUGCCAGGGAUUGGGGCUUGCAAUUGUUCCCCAUGAACGAGGAAUUCCCAGUAAGCGCGAGUCAUCAGCUCGCGUUGAUUACGUCCCUGCCCUUUGUACACACCGCCCGUCGCUACUACCGAUCGGAUGGUUUAGUGAGGUUCUCGGAUCGGCGUUCUGGCACUGCCAGGCUCGUCCUGGUGGCCGGUCCUGCCGAGAAGAAAAUCGAACUUGAUCAUCUAGAGGAAGUAAAAGUCGUAACAAGGUUUCCGUAGGUGAACCUGCGGGAGGAUCA